AACGCGAAGAACCUUACCUGGGUUUGACAUCUUCUGACAAACGUAGAGAUACGUCUUUCGUAGCAAUACGACAGAAAGACAGGUGCUGCAUGGCUGUCGUCAGCUCGUGUGGUGACAUGUUGGGUUAAGUCCCGCAACGAGCGCAACCCUUGUCUUUAGUUGCCAGCAUUCAGUUGGGCACUCUAAAGAGACUGCCGUGGUUAACACGGAGGAAGGUGGGGAUGACGUCAAGUCCUCAUGGCCUUUAUAUCCAGGGCGACACACGUGAUACAAUGGACGGUACAGAGGGAAGCAAAAGCGCAAGCUCAAGCCAAUCUCAAAAAGCCGUUCUCAGUUCGGAUUGGAGUCUGCAACUCGACUCCAUGAAGUUGGAAUCGCUAGUAAUCGCGGAUCAGCACGCCGCGGUGAAUACGUUCCCGGGCCUUGUACACACCGCGUGUCU
rnacentral:rRNA from 1 species